UACGUAGGGUGCGAGCGUUGUCCGGAAUUAUUGGGCGUAAAGAGCUUGUAGGCGGUCUGUCGCGUCUGCUGUGAAAAUCCGGGGCUCAACCCCGGACUUGCAGUGGGUACGGGCAGACUAGAGUGUGGUAGGGGAGACUGGAAUUCCUGGUGUAGCGGUGAAAUGCGCAGAUAUCAGGAGGAACACCCGAAUGGCGAAGGCAGGUC
rnacentral:rRNA from 1 species